CAUUGAUUAUUAGCAUGUACUGCAUUUGUCUACAUAUGCAUGCAUUAGUUAUAGAUUAGAUAUAUUAUGUAGUUUUUGUUUUCUACCAUAAGUUAAAAAUUACACCGAAAUCAUCAUUUCUGUUUCCGAAAAGAAUACUAAACAAAGACCCACACAAGUCCAAGUCUGAACUAAAGUUAAACACAUGUCAUUAAGUAUAUUAUUACUAAACUAAGCAUGUUACUUAUUAAUGACACGGCGUUU
rnacentral:lncRNA from 1 species